rnacentral:rRNA from 1 species
CAGUCGCCGCGGGAAUACGGAGGGUGCAAGCGUUAAUCGGAAUUACUGGGCGUAAAGCGCACGCAGGCGGUCUGACAAGUCAGAUGUGAAAUCCCCGGGCUUAACCUGGGAACUGCAUUUGAAACUGUCAGGCUGGAGUCUUGUAGAGGGGGGUAGAAUUCCAGGUGUAGCGGUGAAAUGCGUAGAGAUCUGGAGGAAUACCGGUGGCGAAGGCGGCCCCCUGGACAAAGACUGACGCUCAGGUGCGAAAGCGUGGGGAGCAAACAGGAUUAGAUACCCAGUAGUCCCUGUCUCUUAUACA